rnacentral:rRNA from 1 species
AGUGAACGCUGGCGGUAGGCCUAACACAUGCAAGUCGAACGGCAGCACAGGAGAGCUUGCUCUCUGGGUGGCGAGUGGCGGACGGGUGAGGAAUACAUCGGAAUCUACUUUUUCGUGGGGGAUAACGUAGGGAAACUUACGCUAAUACCGCAUACGACCUACGGGUGAAAGCAGGGGAUCUUCGGACCUUGCGCGAUUGAAUGAGCCGAUGUCGGAUUAGCUAGUUGGCGGGGUAAAGGCCCACCAAGGCGACGAUCCGUAGCUGGGCUGGGAGGAUGAUCAGCCACACUGGAACUGAGACACGGUCCAGACUCCUACGGGAGGCAGCAGUGGGGAAUAUUGGACAAUGGGCGCAAGCCUGAUCCAGCCAUACCGCGUGGGUGAAGAAGGCCCUCGGGUUGUAAAGCCCUUUUGUUGGGAAAGAAAUCCAGCUGGUUAAUACCCGGUUGGGAUGACGGUACCCAAAGAAUAAGCACCGGCUAACUUCGUGCCAGCCGCCGCAGUAA